rnacentral:rRNA from 1 species
UACAAAGGGUGCAAGCGUUACUCGGAAUUACUGGGCGUAAAGCGUGCGUAGGUGGUUCGUUAAGUCUGAUGUGAAAGCCCUGGGCUCAACCUGGGAAUGGCAUUGGAUACUGGCGAUCUAGAGUGCGGUAGAGGGCAGUGGAAUUCCCGGUGUAGCAGUGAAAUGCGUAGAGAUCGGGAGGAACAUCUGUGGCGAAGGCGACUGCCUGGACCAGCACUGACACUGAGGCACGAAAGCGUGGGGAGCAAACAGG